rnacentral:tRNA from 1 species
AUAAAGGUGGCCAAGUGGUUAAGGCAAUGGACUUCUAAUCCACUGUGCUCUGCACUUGUGGGUUCGAAUUCCACUUUCAUC